rnacentral:rRNA from 1 species
CUACGUAGGUGGCAAGCGUUAUCCGGAAUUAUUGGGCGUAAAGAGGGAGCAGGCGGCAGCAAGGGUCUGUGGUGAAAGCCUGAAGCUUAACUUCAGUAAGCCAUAGAAACCAGGCAGCUAGAGUGCAGGAGAGGGUCGUGGAAUUCCAUGUGUAGCGGUGAAAUGCGUAGAUAUAUGGAGGAACACCAGUGGCGAAGGCGACGAUCUGGCCUGCAACUGACGCUCAGUCCGAAAGCGUGGGGAGCAAAUAGGAUUAGAUACCCUAGUAGUCCACGCCGUAAACGAUGAGUACUAAGUGUUGGAUGUCAAAGUUCAGUGCUGCAGUUAACGCAAUAAGUACUCCGCCUGAGUAGUACGUUCGCAAGAAUGAAACUCAAAGGAAUUGACGGGG